ensembl:lncRNA
CCAGGAUUUAUGUCUUGCUGCUGGCUGGUCUUCCCAGAACACAUUGACCAGGUUUUACAAGCUGGAUGUACCCUCUGUACCGUCACAUGUACUUUCGACACAGGUCGAUGCUGGAUUUGCAGAGAGACUGAGAUUAAAAUGCAGUGCUGUCUAUAUUGGAUCAGACAGUAAUGGCGCAGCACACUUAUGUGAAGUCGAACUCUGUGAUGCCAAACAACUUCCCAGUGCAAAGGAUCAUGGGGGCCCGAAGUGUCCAUCAGUUGUACCCUUCGAAAUCCUUCAUUCCGAUGGGCCCUUUGAAGUGGCCAGUUUUGAGCACUUCGGUUUGGAACGACCCUUCAAUAUGGCGGCCACGAUUGUUUACACUCCAAAGUGCCCUUCGGAGGGCAAUAUAUCCUGUUUGGAACACACCGACCGUCUUUACUGGUAAAUCACUGAAAAUGGCAGAUCAUUUCGCUAGUUAGGACCCUUAUUCCUCAGCUGGGAUUGUGUAGUGCCCUUUGAAGCAGCACUGAAACAGCAGUUUGGACUUUCAACCCGCUGGCCACCAUAAGUCCAUUGUUUGGAGAAAAAUACUGGAAUAUUUUCCUCAAAAACCUUAAUUUCUUUGAGACUGAAGACAGAGAUACAGAGGACAUGAACAUCUUGGAUGACAUGGGGCAUGGUCUGAAGAUGAUCUGAGCCAAAUUUGGUGAAAAUCGGACCAACAGUCUAGGAGGAGUUCAAAAAUGUAGGUUUUCAACAUAAAUCAAAAUAGCAGAUGGAGGAUUGGGCAUUAAGGUAUAAUUGGUAUUGAUAUUCUCUGCAUGAUCCAAGGAAUUUAUGAAGAUAAGUCUUAGGGCAAUAGGCAAAAUUAAUCCAAAGUUAUUUGCAUUGUUUGAAAUUUCAUUGUAAUUUUUGACUGUAUGGUGGUGCUGCCAUGAAAUGUUUUGAGUACCUUCAGGGCAUGGUGCCAAAGACACAUACCAAGUUUCAUAACAAUAUGCCAAUGCAUUCAUAAAAUAUAGCAUGUUUUGUCAAAAUUCAAAAUGGCCAACAUGGAAGAAUUGGGUACCAACUGACAUUCAACAUGCUGCUCCAAAUGUAAAGAGACCAGUCUUGUGAUUUUUAGCCUAACAAUUCAGAAGUUAUAAGCAAAAAUAUAACAUUUUCAUAACACCUGACCACUAGGUGGCACUGUGCUGAAACUGGGCAGAUAACCUCAGCUCAUGGUUGUCAUGACACACAACAAGUUUUGUCUGAAUAUGCUAAAGCGCUGCAGAGAUACAGCCUCACGUCCUCUUUGGCAAGCUCUUUGACAAAUUUGUUUGUACAUUAUUCUGAAACAGUUUGACUGAUAAACUUGAUUUUCAUGUCUUUUAGCCGACAUUUUCUGAAGAUUAUAUGUUUCGUUUUUGCAAAAAUCGGACUAAUGAUCUAGGAGGAGUACGAAAAAGUAGUUUUUUCAAAAAUUAAAAAUGGCAGAAAAAUUUUAUGAUGGAAAAUGACAUCACAUAGUGCAUUUGAAUCAUCUGGAGUCAAGGAGAAAUAAUAAAUUGGAGAGAAAAAAUGAUUUAGCUUCUAGCCCUUAUGGUCGAAAAGGUAUUAGCACAAACAUGCGUGCAACUUUAGAUAAGUGGUGCCAUUAGAGGGUUUGAGUUAGAGACUCCAAAUUUGGUAUAGUUAAUGUUCAGGCUGUCCUCUAUCUGUGUGCCAAAUUUAACAGCUUUUUACCAUAUGGUUCUAUGGGUUGCUAUAGACUUCCGGAGUGGAAGAAGAAGAAGAACACUAACAGAUUCAGUAGGUGCCUGUGCACCUUUGGUACUUGGCCCCUAAUAAUGCAAUCAUCAAACAAUAAUAUAAAAGCAUCCUACCGAAUGAAAUGUUGACCCAGGGAGUGGGCUGUGCCAGCUUUGGAGGUGUGGAUGGAAGCAAUCUACUCUAACAUUGUUCCGAAUCCUAUCCGGAUGUAAUCUGAAAAAAAAAAAAAAAACAUGAUUUUCUUAGCUUUUUGUUCAAAAAGUUGCUUUUUUAUGAAGCUUAGCACAUUCAAAUGUUGUUUUAAAGAAUGAAUGUAUAAAGCUGGAUUUUUUUUUAAAGAAGAAGC